AUUGAGAGCCAUCUCCACUGUAGU
rnacentral:siRNA from 1 species